AACCGUUUGGAGCCAGACCGGCCGUUCUAUAAUCAAUCUCUGCCUCGGUGGGGAUGCACUUGUAGGACGUUGGCCUGCCAACAGCAAUUUUGUCUGGUGGAAAAAACCAGGAGGAAUGUGGCCCCUCGGGGUGUUAUAGCCUCCCGGAAAAUACAUCGGACGGGAUUGAGGACUGCAGUAAAUGCCUUUAGGCGAAAUACCUGGGCGCUUGUGUUGAGGACGUGUAGAAUCUCUGCUUCGGGUGGUGCUACGCUCUAAUGUGCAACUCGCCUAGAUUAUUU
rnacentral:rRNA from 1 species